AGGUGAUGAAAUAAACGUUUUAUUGCCGGAAGUAAAGUUCAGUUAACCAUUACGCUACUAUUAUCUAGGUGUGUUUGCCUAUAGAGCGGUGUAUUGCAUAGCUGUCGAGCCUCACUGCUCCUGACACUAAGACUGCAGUGUUAUCAUCGUUGUGUCCACACAGUCUUCUUAAAGCCACAGAUGAUGAAGAUGCUGCUCAUGCUGGGGUUCCUCCUGACUCGGGAGUCAUCUGCACAACGUGUCCUGAAUCAAUAUGAUAAACCAAAGUCUGUUCGUCUGGGAGACAGAGUGUCUAUCAGUGCUGUUGCAAGUUCAACCAGUAUUGAUGAUGAUAUGAGCUGGUACCUCAUGAAACCUGGACAGGCUCCUAAACUCCUCAUCUAUAAAGGAAAAACCCUUCAGUCUGGAACACCAUCUAGAUUCAGUGGCAGUAGAUCAGAAACCAGGACAACCAUGACUCUGAUCACCAUCUUCAUCUGGACACUGAUCUGCUGCUGCCUCAAAGGAUCCAGAGGUCAGGUGACUGUGACUCAGCCUCCUGUAGUGACAUGUUCUCCAGGAGACCCCGUCACUCUGACCUGUACAACCAACCCUGAAGUGUACAGAUUCAGUGAUGGAGAUUAAGCCUUGUCCUGGUAUCAACAGAGACCUGGAGAAGCUCCCAAACUCCUGAUAAAAUACGCGAAGAAACGGCUAGGUGGGAUUCCUGCUAGAUUCAGUGGCAGUGGGUCUGAGAGGGACUUCACUCUGACCAUCAGUGGAGUCCAGGUUGAAGAUGCAGCAGUUUACUACUGUCAGAGUUAUCAUGAGCUCAAUGAUUAAGCUCUGUUCACACAGUGAUUUAGAGACGUACAAAAACCUCCUGUACAAAAUGACAAACAUCACUGGUCCAUUGAACACAGAACAAAGGGUCUUGUUAUAUGACAUCACCAAGUAUAUCCACUUUACUAACUCACAGAAAUAAUGCUUACAAACUAGUUUCAUGACCCUCCCAACCUCCCAUGUCUACAAAUGUUCUCUAUUUCAGGAAGAUACAGGUGAAAUAGUCCCAUUGAGGAGGAAUAAUCUGUAUCAUGUCAACAUAAGAUCAUGUGUGAAGCAAGAAGGUUGGUGUGCCUCAAUGCUUGGUUGACCAACCGGACACACACAGCUUGCCAACACUUCCGUGGAGCAGUAUUGAGUGUGUGUGUAAGUGCAUGCGUGUGUUUGACUGAGAGAGAGCCCUGUGAAACAGAAACUUCGUUUUGCAUGGCCACUCUCCCAGAAUAGAGCAGUACACUCCCCAGAUGUUCCCCCAUCCUUAACACGACACCAGAGCUAGACCAGAGGAGGUCAAAGAUCAAAGUCAGAGGUUAGAUGUCAGUCACAGGCCAUUUUAUGUUCCUUCUUAUCAGAAAGAUACAGGUAAAACAUUCCUAUUGAGGAUAAAUAAUCCAUAUUAUGUCAACAUAAAAUCAUGUGUGAAGCUAAAUGUUCCUAAGUGUUGGUGAGACUCAAUGCUUGACAGACCAACCAGACACACACAUCUGCCAAGACUUCUGUGGAG